AGGGCUGUCACUGGUCCUCAGCUGCUCC
rnacentral:piRNA from 1 species